rnacentral:rRNA from 1 species
UACGGAGGGUGCGAGCGUUGUUCGGAAUUACUGGGCGUAAAGAGCUCGUAGGUGGUUUGUCGCGUUGUUCGUGAAAUCUCACGGCUUAACUGUGAGCGUGCGGGCGAUACGGGCAGACUAGAGUACUGCAGGGGAGACUGGAAUUCCUGGUGUAGCGGUGGAAUGCGCAGAUAUCAGGAGGAACACCGGUGGCGAAGGCGGGUCUCUGGGCAGUAACUGACGCUGAGGAGCGAAAGCGUGGGGAGCGAACAGG